rnacentral:rRNA from 1 species
CCUACGGGAGGCAGCAGUGGGGAAUAUUGCACAAUGGGGGGAACCCUGAUGCAGCGACGCCGCGUGAGUGAAGGAGUGUUUCGGUAUGUAAAGCCCUGUCAGCAGGGAAGAAAAUGACGGUACCUGACCAAGACGCCCCGGCUAACUACGUGCCAGCAGCCGCGGUAAUACGUAGGGGGCAAGCGUUAUCCGGAUUUACUGGGUGUAACGGGGGCGUAGACGGCAGAGCAAGUCUGGAGUGAAAGGCGGGGGCCCAACCCCCGGACUGCUCUGGAAACUGCCUGGCUGGAGUGCAGGAGGGGUAAGUGGAAUGCCUAGUGUAGCGGUGAAAUGCGUAGAUAUUAGGAGGAACACCAGUGGCGAAGGCGGCUUACUGGACUGUGACUGACGUUGAGGCUCGAAGGCGUGGGGAGCAAACAGGAUUAGAUACCCUAGUAGUC